UACGAAGGGUGCAAACGUUGCUCGGAAUCAUUGGGCGUAAAGCGCACGUAGGCGGCUUCGCAAGUCGGAUGUGAAAUCCCUCGGCUCAACCGAGGACGUGCAUACGAAACUGCGAAGCUUGAGUACUGAAGAGGAUCGCGGAAUUCCGGUGUAGAGGUGAAAUUCGUAGAUAUCGGGAGGAACACCAGUGGCGAAGGCGGCGAUCUGGGCAGAUACUGACGCUGAGUGCGAAAGCGUGG
rnacentral:rRNA from 1 species